CAAUAGCGUAUAUUAAAGUUGUUGCAGUUAAAAAGCUCGUAGUUGGAUUUCGGAUGGGACUUGCCGGUCCGUCGUUUCGAUGUGCACUGGCCAGUCCUAUCUUGUUGUCGGGGACUAGCUCCUGGGCUUCACUGUCCAGGACUAGGAGCUGACGAGGUUACUUUGAGUAAAUUAGAGUGUUCAAAGCAAGCCUACGCUCUGAAUACAUUAGCAUGGAAUAACACGAUAGGACUCUGGCUUAUCUUGUUGGUCUGUGAGACCAGAGUAAUGAUUAAGAGGGACAGUCGGGGGCAUUCGUAUUUCAUUGUCAGAGGUGAAAUUCUUGGAUUUAUGAAAGACGAACUUCUGCGAAAGCAUUUGUCAAGGAUGUUUNCAUUAA
rnacentral:rRNA from 1 species